rnacentral:rRNA from 1 species
CACGUAGGGGGCAAGCGUUGUCCGGAUUCAUUGGGCGUAAAGAGCGUGUAGGCGGCCCGGUAAGUCCGCUGUGAAAGUCGGGGGCUCAACCCUCGAAUGCCGGUGGAUACUGUCGGGCUAGAGUGCGGAAGAGGCGAGUGGAAUUCCUGGUGUAGCGGUGAAAUGCGCAGAUAUCAGGAGGAACACCGGUGGCGAAGGCGGGGCUCUGGGCCGAUACUGACGCUGAGGAGCGAAAGCGUGGGGAGCGAACAGG